UCUUAAAUGUUUUUUUUAAUCUUCAAUUCUUAGUUUAGCACAAAAAUAUUUUUCAGUUUCAAUUUAUUUAUUUUAUUUUAUUAUUCCAGUUUAGCUUCAUAGAGGCGGUCCAAACUAACUGGUGGUUCUGGCACACAGAGGGGAAGUACUGGAUCUGUCCAGCAGAGGGCGCACCCUUCCCCACUGUCAUAAAUCACUUAUUUGUCUUUCCACACGGGACAACGCUUUAUAUUAAAACCGGAAGUAAUGAAAAGUAAACAAAUCUCAAGAGAGUCACGUAGAGGAACAUGUUUUAGUUUGAGGGAAUGACUGAGGGUGUUUUGCAGGUCGGAUCCAAAGAGAAGAGAACCGGCUUCUGCUGAAGACGUUCUGCUCAGUGUUGGGUUGGACCAUGCAGACAGAAAUUAACAGGAGAGGAUUUACGGAAAAUUUUAUUGAACGGCAGCACUUGAAGCUCAAAGAUCUAAAAAGAGAAGCUCUAGAUGCAGGUGUGGAAAAUGGAUAUCUGCACAAAACAAACAUCCCAGAAUAUCCCAAACCAGAGUUCCACGUGAGUCUUCUGAAACAUGAAACUACAGGAUCAGCACUACGUGGGAUCAGGAGGGAUGGGGGCUUCAGAAAUCCAUAUGGAGAAUCUCUGAUAUGGUGGAGUCUGUCUGUGGGACCAGACCAGAUGAGGGACGCAGAGACGAGGCUCCUGGAGAAGACGUUCCCAGACCGGAUGGAGGCCGAAGAUCCUGAGCAGCAGAGCUUCCUGUGGAGGUUUGCCACGUCUCCAGCCUUCAAGGAGACGUCCCGGCUGGGCUGGUACCGCUUCACCUUCCCCCUGCAGGAGGUGCUGACGGCCUACAGAGACCAGCUCUGCUCUGGAGCCCAACCCAUCAUGCGGACGUACAGAACCGUGCUGUACUCAAAGGAAGUGAUGCAUGUGGUUCUGAUCCACAGUCCUGCCAAUGAGAUGGAGUUCUCCCAGUACCCCCUCCUGAGCGACUCCCCGGAUGCUGUGUGUGUUUACAGGGACGGAUGUUUCCUGUGGAGACCAGAGGCCAUGUGUGAGACUCACUGGUACAAGCUGAUCUGCCGGCAGAGAACCAAUCAGCUGGAAGCCUGGAGCGCCUCCUCACCUCAGUUCUAUGUUUGGGAUCACGUUGCUGUCGCCUUCCAUGUGGGUCAGAACCAGGUGUUGAAGUUUCCUGCUGAUCAACUGAGAGCCAGGUUGGGGUUCUGCCAGCUGGAUGCAGUGAACUAUAGUGCAACCAGUGAAAACCCAGAGGAUUUUGAAGACGCUAAAGCGGCAGUGAAGGGGCUGUGGCCGGGCUGGAGCGGCCCUCUGCAGGUGGAGCGCUCCCUGAAGCAGACCUUGACAGUUUCAGACAUCCAGCUGGUUCUGGUUGGGUGGGCUGGAGUUGGGAAGAGCUCCAGUGGGAACACCAUCCUGGGAAGAAACGCCUUCAGGACCAGCAGGGCUGCAGCCAGUCCACCUUCAGGUAGAAGCCGCUGCUGUCUGCAGAGAGGCAACGUCUUCAGCAGGGAGGUGACCGUCAUCGACACUCCAGCUCUCCCAGAAACAUCCGACCCUGAGGUGAGGAAGGAGAUCUUCAGGUGCAUCAACCGGUCGACGCCGGCGCCCCACGCCAUCCUGCUGGUCGUCAGACUGGGGUUCCUCACUACGCAUGUAGAGGAAACGGUGAAGCAGCUGGAAAAGAUGUUUGGAGAAAAUGUCUGGAGGCGCACCAUGAUCCUGCUCACCUACCAGAACCAGGCAGAACCAGACAUCCAGAGGCAUCUGAAGGAGAAUGAAAACCAACUGUUCAGGAAAGUAGGCAACAGAUUUCAGGUCCUAAAUAACAACCCGCAUCACAGAGACGUUCAGCAGGUCUGGGAUCUGCUGCACAAGGUCACCCAGCUGCUCAGUGAUCUCAAGUAGACUUUAAAGCAUAAAGCCUUCAGAUCAGGUCAAAACCUCAGAUCAUUUUCAGGGUUUAAAGGAUCUUUUAUCACCUGAAGAACAUCUGACAUUUGGUCGUUUUUAUUUCAGUAGAUUUUAUCCAAUCAUUGAUGCUAAAGCAUAGAUAAAUGCAGGGAUACAGGAACGAUCAGAAAGCUUAGUAAAUUACAGUAAUUUUUAUUUUACUGGACCUGAAUUUAAAGAAUGUACUUCACUGUUGGCUCCCCUUUGUCAGUGACCAAAAACCCACAAUAGUCACUGAAAUAACUUGAAUCGGAUAAGUCCUGGUAAAGGGUAAAAGGACUGUUCUUGCAAAGUGCUUUAUGACGUCCAGAGAACCCAAAAGCACUUUUCUACUUGCAGGCCCAGUCCCUGCUUUAGGCACAGUCCCAGUACUCGCCCUUCACCCUACGUGCUUUAUGAAGUGUGGACUCAGUCAAAGGGAACUUCAGGAUUCGAUUGCACAGGUUACAAGUGUGCAAAAAUUAGAAAACAGUACGCCCCCGUGUUGUGACUUCGGCAUAAAAACAGCGACCACUGUUUUGGCAUUUCUGCUGCUAAAAUGUACAACAAAAAUAUCUAUUUUAAAUAUAGAGUAAAGGUAUCUCUGGUUUACAAAAUCAUUGCAGGAGAAAUCGGUCUGUUCAAAUGUGUUUGAUAUGACCUGUUGAAUAAUGCAGAUCAAAAUUUGAUCGUAUUCACACAUGUUCAAUGAAACCAAACUUAUUUCAAAACUUUACAAUUGAAAACUGAUUUUUAAGGCAGUGUUCACAGCUUGUUCUGUGAACACUGCCUUCGAUCUGCCAUACUUCCAAUGGCAACUUUUUAUUUUCUGAUGAAAAAUGCCGUUUAAGAUGUACCUACAGUCAAUUUAACAGUCUCAAAGCCAAUUCCUCCUCCUGCUAUGAUUCAGCUAAUUAAAGGAUUGAUUACAUAUUCAACUGUUACUCAAAAGAACAAUCUAUGACUAUUAAUGGCUGUGAGUUUAUAGACAAAAAAUUAAUACAUUCAUAGGGAUCACUGACAUCAAAUUUCUUCCCCACUAGCCUGAGAAGAAAACAUGUUUAAAAAUCAUGAUGAUCUAUCAAAAGAAGAUGCGAACCAAACUAAAAAAUGUAUCGGAAAUGAACCAAUGAAAAUCAGAUUAUGUUUUUUAAUUGUGGUUCAGGAGAAUCAUUUUUAAAAACCUUAACCUGCAGCUAAAAAGCUCUGAGGGAUGGAGACGGUUAUAAGCUCCAGUUUUCUGAGUGUUGGUGAAAAUCUUCUGAACUACAAACGUUGGAGGACAUUUCUGAAACAUGAAGGACAAUCGACUCACCUGCUGCAGAUUUCAAUUCAACAACUGGUGUUGGAGUGACCUCUGACAUUUGCUUAUCUUUAAACAUGGUAGAUAAACAUUUUACAGAUAAUAAAAUGUCUGUUGUUGUCUGCUGCUGUUUUGGUUCCAGCCUCUAAAGAGGACAGAGAUGUUCCUGUCAGUAAUAGUGAUGAUGAUUAUAGGAGCUUUGAGAGGCUUGGAGACCAAGUUUUCUUUUGAGAAAAGCGUUAUGGUGAAUUGCAAUCUCGUUGGUGUGCUCAUUGCUAAUAAAAGUGGAUUGUGUCUUCAUUAUAAGUGCACAACAUUUUCUACCAAGAGGUUUGACAAACAGACACAAGCAGGAUGGCUGAAGCUGAAACCGAGGUCUGGUUGCAGAAGAAAGACGUGGCUGUGAGGAUUAACUGAGACAAAACAGAGUCUCAGAGGACAGCCAAGUUAGUCAGCUGAGCCUGAGACCUCCACUGACACCACACUUCCCAUCAUGCACUCUGUCAUGACAUCCUGCACCGUGUGAAAUGCAGCAGCCUUUCCUUCCUUCCUGGUUUUGAGAAACUUUUCUUAAGGUGGUCUGGAACAAGGACAGGAUUGAACGUGAGCGGGAAAGCAGCCAGUGUCUGGAGAGAGACUGAAAAACCUUCAAAACAUCUGGAGAACUGCUGAUCAGGUUCAGAGGUCAGGAGAACCUCCCGCUCAUUGAAAGGAGAAUUUAAAGAAAUGAAAGUUGGAUCAGAACAGUUGAGUCUGGAGAACUGCUCCUCUCAGUUGUCUCCCUUGCACAAAGGAAUCAUUAAUGAUUAUGUAGCUUCAGUAACAGGGUGUAGAGUCUGACAGUUUGUAAAGAGACGCCCUGACAGUUUUACUGUCUGCUGCAGAUAAGAGCAGAGCCGUCUGUGCUGUGUGAGGCUGUCAAACAGAACCAACACAUUCUGUCUGAAAUGUUUUAGACCAAAAGGACUCCUUCGAUCUACCUUUGGCAGGAUUGGAUCAUGCAGAAACGAACAAACAGGAGAAGAUACACUGAACAUUUUGUUAAACAGCGACACCUGAAGUUGACAGAACUGAAAUUGGAAGCAGAAAGGAUUGGUUUGAAAAACAGAUACCUCCAGACUGAAAACAUCCCAGAAUAUCCCAAACCAGAGUUCCACGUGAGUCUUCUGAAACAUGAAACUACAGGAUCAGCACUACGUGGGAUCAGGAGGGAUGGGGGCUUCAGAAAUCCAUAUGGAGAAUCUCUGAUAUGGUGGAGUCUGUCUGUGGGACCAGACCAGAUGAGGGACGCAGAGACGAGGCUCCUGGAGAAGACGUUCCCAGACCGGAUGGAGGCUGAAGAUCCUGAGCAGCAGAGCUUCCUGUGGAGGUUUGCCACGUCUCCAGCCUUCAAGGAGACGUCCCGGCUGGGCUGGUACCGCUUCACCUUCCCCCUGCAGGAGGUGCUGACGGCCUACAGAGACCAGUCCAGCUAAGCAGAACUUCUCACACUACCCUUUGCUGACCGAUGACCCAGAUGCUGUUUGUGUUUACAAAGACGGACAUUUUGUGUG